AGUGUGGCCUGCGGCUUGGUAGAGCAUGGUAGAUUAAGAUAGAGGAAGGUAAAGUAAAGUAGUUUAAAGAUAAAGUAAGUUAUAAUGAGGUAGAGCGAGGCAGAGUGAAGUACAGAGAGGUAGAAUGAAGCACAGCGAGUUUGAGAAAACAGUAUGAGGUAAAAUGAGACAGUAAAAGGUAAAGGUACAGUGAGGCUAGAGUGGGGUAGAGCAAGGUAGUGAGAGGUAGAGUAAGGUCAAGUGAGGUAGAGCAAUGUGUAGUAAGGGUAGAGAGGAGUAGAGGGAGGUAAAGUGAGGGAAGAAUGGGGUAGGGCGAGAUAGGUAGAGGUAAAGCAAGGUAGACUAAGGUAAAGUGAAGUGAGGGUGGAGUGGGGUAGAGUGAGGUAGGGAAUGGUAAAGUGAGGUAAAGUAAAGUAAAAUGAGGGUAGAGGAACAAAGAAUGAGAAAAAGUGAGGGUAGAAUGGGGUAGAAUGAAGUAGGAGAGGUAGAGCAAGGUAAAGGGAGUUAGAGUUGGAUAAAGUGAGGGUAGAGUGGGGUAGAGUGAGAUAAAAUGAUGUAGAGCGAGGACAAGCAAGUCAGAGUGAGGGUAAAGCAAGGUAAAGGAAGGUAGAUUGAGCUAAAGUAAAGUACAGGUAGAGGGAGGUAUAGCUGGGCAAAGUGAGGGUGGAAUAUGGAAGAGUGAGUUAGAGUGAUGUAGAGUGAGCUACAGUGAGGUACAAUGAGGUAGAGUAAGGUAGAGUGCGGUAGAGCGAGGAUACAGUGAGAUACAGUGAGGUAGAGUGAGGUAGAGUGAGGGUACAAUGAGGUAGAGUGAGGAUACAGUGAGGUAGAGCGAGGGUACAGUGAGGUACAGUGAGGUACAGUGAGGAUACAGUGAGGUAGAGCGAGGGUACAGUGAGGUACAGUGAGGUAGAGUGAGGGUACAAUGAGGUAGAGUGAGGAUACAGUGAGGUAGAGCGAGGGUACAGUGAGGUACAGAGAGGUACAGUGAGGUAGAGUGAGGAUACAGUGAGGUAGAGCGAGGGUACAGUGAGGUACAGAGAGGUACAGUGAGGUAGAGUGAGGUAGAGUGAGGAUACAAUGAGGUAGAGUGAGGAUACAGUGAGGUAGAGCGAGGGUACAGUGAGGUACAGAGAGGUACAGUGAGGUAGAGUGAGGAUACAGUGAGGUAGAGUGAGGAUACAGUGAGGUAGAGCGAGGGUACAGUGAGGUACAGUGAGGUAGAGUGAGGAUACAGUGAGGUAGAGCGAGGGUACAGUGAGGUACAGUGAGGUAGAGUGAGGUACAGUGAGGGUACAAUGAGGUAGAGUGAGGAUACAGUGAGGUAGAGCGAGGGUACAGUGAGGUACAGAGAGGUACAGUGAGGUAGAGUGAGGAUACAGUGAGGUAGAGCGAGGGUACAGUGAGGUAGAGUGAGGUAGAGUGAGGAUACAAUGAGGUAGAGUGAGGAUACAGUGAGGUAGAGCGAGGGUACAGUGAGGUACAGUGAGGUACAGUGAGGUAGAGCGAGGUAGAGUGAGGUUACAGUGAGGUAGAGUGAGGAUACAGUGAGGAGGAGUGAGGGUACAGUGAGGUAGAGCGAGGAUACAGUGAGGUACAGUGAGGUAGAGUGAGGAUACAGUGAGGUAGAGCGAGGUAGAGUGAGGAUACAGUGAGGUAGAGUGAGGUAGAGCGAGGUAAUGUACACCAGGUGACCUCACAAAAAUGGUAAUGUUUUUAAGUAUUGAAUGACUUAACCAGUUAAACUCUGUAUGUAAGCCCACAUUUCAGUUAUUAAUGCUCAUAACUACACUAUUAUACGCUACUAUAGUUAUUAACAGUUUCUAUGAGCUUCUAUGAACUGCUUGGAUGCUCCUCCCUUAUUGUGACAUCACAAUAAAAAAAACCUGCAUUGAACAAACCUGGCACAAGCCCUUACCCAUCAACCCCCACCAGAGCCCCACCCCCCACUAGUUCACUAGGUUGAAGAAACACUACUUUUUCUAAUAUUGGUUGAGAACCUCAGACAGUACACAGCAAAAUUAGCCAGCAGACUUUGUCUGAGGGAGGGAUCUGUAUUAUGCGUUUUGUGCUUCGAUGACAGUUAAGCAUGAACUAGUUUUUUCUCUCAGUAUACAAAUGGCAUGACCAGUAACAGCCUAUUUGCAUAAAAGUGGCAGAGCCCUUAAACGGCUCAUUAUGAAAGGGACUAAAACUGGUAAAAAUAGAGCUUUUAAGUAAGAGUUCCUAUUCUAAUUUAGUGUUAAUGAAGUUUAAUAUGUCCCCUGUUAAAUAAGGUAAUUCACUGUGGCUGUGAUGUGCAGAUUAUACAAAUUCAUACUGGAUUAAAAUCAGCUAAUCCAGAUCCAGAAUCCAGAGUCUGGUUUAUAUUGUACUGUAGCUGAAAGUACAUUGGGACUGUGAUGUCAGGGGUGAUUUAAAUAUCUCCUACUGUAUAAUAAGAGGAUUUAAGAUUAAUUAGCUCUUUAAAUGGUUGCAUUACAGUCUUUAUAUUAAUAUUAUUAUAAUAAUAAUCCUCUUUAAAUGUGAGUGCGGUCUGAGGAAAGGAAACCCUGCAUGGUUUGGGAAGAAUGUUAAGUGCAUGCUCUGCUGCUGGUAGGCCACUUAUUUCCAGAGGGGUGUUAGGUGUCUCUUAAUCGCUGAAUAGAUGUGUUAGUGUUAGAGUGUGUGUGUGUGUGUGUGUGGUGUUACCAGGCUGCACUGCCACAUUGCUGUAGUGAAACCAGUGCUUCCGUGGACACGCUGUACCCAUUUAGAUCUCCUCAGUCCUGCUUAAAGGUUGAGAAGCUUUUAGUAUUUUCUACAUUUCUGCAUAAAUUUGACCUAGAACUUCUUAGAAAAACAGAUUUUUACACAAAUCAAAAAAAGUACAUGAGAAAAAAACAAAGCAAACUAAUUAAACAAAAAUAUCUUAAUCUUAAUAACAGUGCCACUGUGAUUGGGAGAUCACUUAUUCGAAUCCCAGUCAUGCAGCUUGCCAUCAGCUGCCAGAGCCUCGAGAGAGCACACGAUUGGCCUUGCUCUCUCUCUAUGGGUGGGUACAGUAGGUGGCGCUCUUCUCUUUCCCCUCAUCACUCCUAGGGUGAUGUGGAUCAGCACAAGGCUGCGUCUGUGAGCUGUUGUAUCAGAACCGAGUCACUGCGCUGCCUUAUGUUGUCAGACAGGUUCUAUUUUUUACAGGCAGUAAUCAGGCCUGGUUGUGGUUAGAAGUGAAGUUGAUUCCCAAACUCAGCUUUCCAAAAAGUGUGAUUAAUCACAGUUAAUUAAUGGAGCAAAAAAUAUUUUUUCACACAGGGCUAGAUUGCGCUGGAUAGUUUUUUUUCUCCUAAUAAAUGAAUUCAUUAUUUAAAAAGUGCUUUUUAUAUUUACUCAGGUUAAAAAUGUAAUCAAUCAAUCAAUCAAUCAACCUUUAUUUCCACUCGGUAAAUACAUUGAGGGUAACCCUCAUUUUCAAUUAAAGGGAUUGAAAAUUAAGUUAAAAUUAUUAAAACAAGCAAAAAAUGUAAGAUUUAAUUUAAAAAAUAAAUAAUAAUUUAAAAUAAAAGGAUAUGCAAACAGGCUAAAAUGUAGAGCAAUAAAACAAAGAGAUAAAUACUCUAGAUACAAUAAUAAAAUAUAAACACAGUUAAAGAAAUAAAGGACUAAAAUAAACACAAUUAGAAAAAAGCAAAUGAAGGAACUAAAAUAAAUAAUAAUGAUAAGUAAAAAAAAGAUCAUUAAAAAUAAAAGGAAGAAAUAAAUUAUGUUAAAAGGUAAAAGGCCAAAAGUAAAAGCAGUAACAAAACUAAUAAAAGGUAAAACAUAAAAUUAGAUUAAAAAAAAGAACAAAUAAAAUAAAAUAAACAACAAGGUAAAAGAAAAACUCAACUAAAACAGUUACAGGCUAAUGUAUUUAUAGCUCUGGAAACAAAAUAAAAGACCAAUUCAGUUUCUGAAUCAGUUUCUCUGAUUUUGCUAUUUAUAGGUAUAUGUUUGAGUAAAAUGAACAUUGUUGUUUUAUUCUAUAAACUACUGACAACAUUUCUCCCAAAUUCCAAAUAAAAAUAUUGUCAUUUAGAGCAUUUAUUUACAGAAAAUGAGAAAUGGCUGAAAUAACAAAAAAAAAGAUGCAGAGCUUUCAGACCUCAAAUUAUACAAAGAAAACAAUUUCAUAUUCAUAUUCAAGUUUUAAUGCAUCUUGGCAUGUUCUCCUCCACCAGUCUUACACACUGCUUUUGGAUAACUUUAAAGCAGUUCAGUUUGGUGGUUUGAUGGCUUGUGAUCAUCCAUCUUCCUCUUGAUUAUAUUAUAGAGGUUUUCAGUUUGGUCAAAUCAAAGAAACCCAUCAUUUUAAAGUGGUCAUUUAUUUUUACCAGAGCUGUAUAUAAAUAUAUAUAAAUGAUCUAAGUGCUAAAUUGUAUCACCUAUCAGCCGGUGCCCAGUCUGCCAGUCUGUCAGACGCCAGGCUGUGCCCGCACCUCAGAGACAGAGCGGGCAUUCACAGCUCUACCUGCUGACAUUUCCCUCAGCUAAAUCAGUCCAGCGAGCUCUGCUGCAGGUGCCAGCUGUUAUUGUUACACUGAGAUUCUGCUCUGAGACACACUGAGGUAUCAGAGGAACUCUCCAGGGACCGACAGUGUGUUUAUGUACUCUGAACUGACACUUUAUUAGGUACAUUGUGAAACAGUACACUGACUAGUUUGACCAUGUAUAUACUGAAUACUGAAUGUGAAGAAGCAUUUAGGGCUGGGGUUGAUGAUGCUGCAGUGGGUCUGCAGGUUUAGGUUCAGCAACAGUAUGUGCUGAAAGAAUGAGGUCAGCUGACUACCUGAAUAUACUGAAUAUAGACCAGGUUAUUCCAUCAAUGGAUUUAUUCUUCAUAUUCCAAGAUGACAAUGUCAGGAUUCAUGGGGCUGGAAUUGUGAAAGAGUUCAGGGUUCAGGGAGCAUGAGAUCAUCAUUUAUCAUUUUCACACAUGGAUUGAGAGAGAGUUCACCACAGAGUCCAGACCUUAACCUCAUUGAGAAUCUUUGGGAUGUGCUGGAUGGAGAAGAGCUGCUUUGUGCAGUGGUCAGACUCUACCAUCAUCAAUGCUGCUGCAAGAUCUUAGAGAAAAAUUAAUAAAUCAAUGCAACCCAUGCAAUACAUUACAUGACAUUACAU